UGGGGGAUAUUGCACAAUGGGGGGAACCCUGAUGCAGCGACGCCGCGUGAGUGAAGACGGCCUUCGGGUUGUAAAGCUCUGUCAAUCGGGACGAAGAAGAUGACGGUACCGAUGAAGGAAGCUCCGGCUAACUACGUGCCAGCAGCCGCGGUAAUACGUAGGGAGCAAGCGUUGUCCGGAAUUACUGGGUGUAAAGGGAGCGUAGGCGGGAAUGCAAGUUGGAAGUGAAAGGUAUGGGCUCAACCCAUGAACUGCUUUCAAAACUGUAUUUCUUGAGUGAAGUAGAGGCAGGCGGAAUUCCUAGUGUAGCGGUGAAAUGCGUAGAUAUUAGGAGGAACACCAGUGGCGAAGGCGGCCUGCUGGGCUUUAACUGACGCUGAGGCUCGAAAGCGUGGGUAGCAAACAGG
rnacentral:rRNA from 1 species